GAGAGAUGUCACUAUCACCUAAGUAAUUUAAUAAUCCUGUUUGACCUAACUAUUCAAGGUUCAUUCUACACCCUCUUUAUUUAUUUUUUUUUCCACAGAGAGGAAAAUAUACUAUUCCAAAGUGGCUCUCUCCUAGCAGUACGCUGCUGCUUAGCCAAAUGCUACAGGUGGACCCAAAGAAGCGGAUUACAGUUAAGCAUCUGUUAAGUCACCCGUGGCUCAUGGAAGGUUAUUGAGAUGCUGUCCACUGGCAAAGUAAAUAUCCACAGGGACACCUUGACGAGGACUGCGUGACAGAGCUUUCCGUGUUUCACAACCAGAGCAGGGAGAGUAUAUAGGAUUUAAUAUCAGAGGUAAGAACUACAUGUUGUUAAUUUGUUGUAAUUAAGCAUGCUAAUACGGUAUGUAACCUUAGCGUAUUGGCAGCCUCAUGGUGCCUUAUUCUCAGGCGUGAGUUUUGCUGUUUUUCUUGUUGUACUCCCAAUCAACUUGCUAGCAGGCAGCCUAGGAAGAGGAAAGAACUUCUCCAGUAUGGCCACUUACAAAUAUUAAGGACAUGGUGGCUUACAGUAGACUACAGAAAGUUGAAUGCAGCUACUAAACCAUUGACUGCCACAGCACCCAGUCUGUCUGACAUACCUAAUCUGCUUAAUACAGCAGGAUUUAAAUGAUGGCUGUCGUUGGUGUUAGAGAUAUCUUUUGGUCACAUUACCACGGCAGGAACAAGACCAAUUUGCUUUUACUUUGGAAGUAAUACAGCAUUUUUUGCUCAUUUACCCCAGGGGGUUAAGCACAGACUUGCACCAACACAUGCUGAAUUGGCUAAGACAUUAGAAGAAGUAAGGUUACCUGCUGGAAUCACAUCAAUUCACUAUGUAGAUAUUGAGUGGGGACAGUGAUGAGCAGCAAGUACAAGAAGGAAUGGGCUUCCUCAUAGACAGACAUAUGCCAGCAGUACUCAUAUCUGUUAGCCACUCUCACAACUAUUUGCAAUUGCUGGCAGUUGUACUGAUUAUUGUGCUAAGAAGCUACCCAUGAAUGGCCCGGGGUAUAUUCUGAACAUAGAGUCCCUACUAAUAUCAAGAAAAUUCUCAAUUUCACCUUUCCAACCAAAUGGCACAAGCAUAACACUAGUAGUACAGAAAGUACAAAUGAGAAUUUUGAGUACAAUGAGACCUGGACAGGCUGGAGAGCUGGGCAGGAA